GUUGGGCAUGGUGGCACAUGCCUGUAAUCCCAGCAGCUCAGAAAGCUGAGGCAGGAGGAUUGAGAGUUCAAAGCCAACCUCAGCAAUUUAGGGAGCCCUUAAGAAAUUCAGCAAGACCCUGUCUCUA
rnacentral:sRNA from 1 species